GUUGGCCUCGUAAAAAGCCGCAAAAAAUAGUCGCAAACGACGAAAACUACGCUUUAGCAGCUUAAUAACCUGCUUAGAGCCCUCUCUCCCUAGCCUCCGCUCUUAGGACGGGGAUCAAGAGAGGUCAAACCCAAAAGAGAUCGCGUGGAANNCCCUGCCUGGGGUUGAAGCGUUAAAACUUAAUCAGGCUAGUUUGUUAGUGGCGUGUCCGUCCGCAGCUGGCAAGCGAAUGUAAAGACUGACUAAGCAUGUAGUACCGAGGAUGUAGGAAUUUCGGACGCGGGUUCAACUCCCG
rnacentral:tmRNA from 1 species